GGCGCCCCUGCUCCGGCGUGCUGCCGCCGCAGGGAACAGCGCGGCGCUGCGUGCGCCCACCCGAAGCCAGCCGAGGCCCGGGAGCGCCCUCCUAGCUAGCCAUCGGCUAGGCUAUGCAGGGCAGGCAGAGGCGGAGGCUAGGCGCGCCGCGAGCGAGCCAGCCGAGCCGGCGGUUUGGCCGGGACGGCGCAACAAAAGGCGCACGCACCCCUGCCGCGCCCCGAGCCACGUCUUGCUCUUGGCCUUCCCCUACCGCGCCCGCGCGGGGUGGCCCGUCCCGGUGAUCGCGCCUGCCCCGCGCGGCGGGCACGGGCUGGCUGCGUCGUGGGCGCGUGAUUGUGUCCGGGGCGCGCGCGGCCUGGCCUUUUUGGCAGGUCCCCGAGCACGAGCAAGCAGCCCACGCCGCCGCCUCGUGUCGCAGUCAUUUCCCUUCCCUUCUCCGGCCGGCCUCUCCUCUCGCCUCGCCUCCUUUUUCCGUGGCCAAGCCGUGCUGCCCGCGCGCGGCGCCCGAGGCGCGACCGGAUGAUUGUGUCCCGCAGGCUGACACUGCCGCUGCCGCUGCCGCCCCGGUCACGUCCGUGCCUGCCGCGGCACGCACGCACGCACGCGCCCUGAGGAAUAUCGCCUGCCGCUGCCGGCCGGGGGGCCGAGACGCGACGCCAAUGCGCGGCCGGUUCCGCGCCCGCGUCGCCUCGGGGGCUCGGGGCCGACCGCUGCAGCGAUCUCCGCCGGCCGGCUGCGUUGGCUCGGUUGGUUGGUUAGGCUCGUUGCCCGAUGGGAAAAGAUUGCGCUCGCGAAAGGCGGCUGGCCGGCCGGGUGGGGCAGAAGAAAGUUGGCUUUGGCUGUGCCGC
rnacentral:lncRNA from 1 species